CUACGGAGGGGGUUAGCGUUAAUCGGAAUUACUGGGCGUAAAGCGAGCGUAGGUGGCUUGAUAAGUCAGAUGUGAAAGCCCCGGGCUUAACCUGGGAACGGCAUCUGAUACUGUUAGGCUCGAGUAGGUGAGAGGAAGGUAGAAUUCCAGGUGUAGCGGUGAAAUGCGUAGAGAUCUGGAGGAAUACCGAUGGCGAAGGCAGCCUUCUGGCAUCAUACUGACACUGAGGUUCGAAAGCGUGGGUAGCAAACAGGAUUAGAUACCCGAGUAGUCC
rnacentral:rRNA from 1 species